rnacentral:rRNA from 1 species
AGAUACGCGCAGAACCUUACCAACACUUGACAUGUUCGUCGCGACUUUAAGAGAUUAAAGUUUUCGGUUCGGCCGGACGAAACACAGGUGCUGCAUGGCUGUCGUCAGCUCGUGUCGUGAGAUGUUGGGUUAAGUCCCGCAACGAGCGCAACCCUCACUUUUAGUUGCCAUCAUUUAGUUGGGCACUCUGAAAGAACUGCCAGUGAUAAGCUGGAGGAAGGUGGGGAUGACGUCAAGUCCUCAUGGCCCUUACGAGUUGGGCUACACACGUGCUACAAUGGCAUUUACAAUAGGAAGCAAGAUGGCGACGUCAAGCAAAUCCUAAAAAGAUGCCUCAGUUCGGAUUGUACUCUGCAACUCGAGUACAUGAAGCUGGAAUUACUAGUAAUCGCGGAUCAGCGCGCCGCGGUGAAUACGUUCCCGGGUCUUGUACACACCGCCCGUCACACCAUGGGAGUUGGUUCUACCUUAAGGCAAGGUUUCAAACCCUUGACCACGGUAUAGUCAGCGACUGGGGUGAAGUCGUAACAAGGUAA